GAGGCUUGCGCUGGAAAGCCCAAAGAAAGAGGAUGGAGGAAAGAAAUGUGUAUUUAGGUUCAAAAGAGCACGCACAGAUCCUGAGUGUUGUCAAGCACCCGUGACUGGGAAACGGAGGCGUCCGAUCCGUAUUGGAGUCAAUUCGCCACUUAAUUGAACACAGCCUCGAAGGGAAGGGCCAUAUUUGUGGGCCUGUCUAACAAUUAAGAGUGACCACAUGGAAUGGGGGAUGAAAGGGUUAAAGAAGAACAAAUAUUGAACACAGCUUUUCUAUGAACAAACUGCAGGCAGCUGCUGCUUUGCAAGGGGAACUUCUUGGCUGCCAUUUCUGGAUGUCAAGGCUGCAGAUACACUGGUCAGGACCCUGGGUAGAGAGAGAUGCGUCAGAAUGCGGCUCCUUUCAGAAAGGCUUCUCCGGAGAAAAACCCUUUGAAAAGAUUCAGCACGUUGCCAUGGAGAACAUCCCACUGAAGGAAUGUAUAGAAGUAGCAGGGUUAACUGAGUGCCUUCCAUCUUCCCUCCAAGGGAUCUGCAAUGAGAUGGGAGAAGGCAACAGGCUGUGUGGGAACCACUGAAGCUGGGAUGGCAGGGAAAGAACAUCUUAGGCUAACUCUUCAAGCCUUGCUGUCACAUUUGCUUUUGAGUCUAUGGUGUCAGCUGCCUACCAGUUGCUUUCAUCUCUAGAAAUCUGUGACUUGCAGUAUGACAAGAACAAAAGGUGACAAUACAAAGGACAAAGGGCAAGGAAUACAGACGGAGAAGCCGCUUAGAGUCUAGGAUGGCAGAGGUUCUCUUGAUCAUUUCAUUUUUGAGCGCUUGUAGAGCUUUGGUGUACCAGAGGUGCUUGAACAGCUUACCACACCACAGAUGAAUGGCCUUUGGAUUUCUCCUAAGAAAAUGUGGCUACCUGAAAUUCAACUCCAUUUUCUGGUCUUCAAUAUUUCUUUUGUGUUCAGUUUGCCAGCUGAGGAGAAGUGGCUAAGCAUAGCCUGUUACUGAUGCUAAAGCCCAAGUUCUGAACCUAACAACUCCAGCAACAUGAUCCUGUUUCAAGAGACAAAAAAGUGACUAAUGAAAGAAAACAAUUGAUGUGCUAUGUAGAGUUUAAAAGAAGGUAAAGAGAAUAAAUUAAAAGCAACAACUCUCUUCUUGACAA
rnacentral:lncRNA from 1 species